rnacentral:rRNA from 1 species
CCUACGGGGCGCAGCAGUGGGGAAUAUUGGACAAUGGGCGAAAGCCUGAUCCAGCCAUGCCGCGUGUGUGAAGAAGGCCUUCGGGUUGUAAAGCACUUUCAGUGGGGAAGAAAGCCUUGGGGCUAAUACCCUCGAGGAAGGACAUCACCCACAGAAGAAGCACCGGCUAACUCCGUGCCAGCAGCCGCGGUAAUACGGAGGGUGCGAGCGUUAAUCGGAAUUACUGGGCGUAAAGCGCGCGUAGGCGGUCUGAUAAGCCGGUUGUGAAAGCCCCGGGCUCAACCUGGGAACGGCAUCCGGAACUGUCAGGCUAGAGUGCAGGAGAGGAAGGUAGAAUUCCCGGUGUAGCGGUGAAAUGCGUAGAGAUCGGGAGGAAUACCAGUGGCGAAGGCGGCCUUCUGGACUGACACUGACGCUGAGGUGCGAAAGCGUGGGUAGCAAACAGGAUUAGAUACCCCGGUAGUCC